GCAUUGAUUUCCUUCUAAGCGUGGAAAACAUCUUAAACGCCUCGCCUCUCACACAGCCAGAUCUGGCCUAGACCAAGCGGAGCAGAUCUUUCCUGGGACGAUUCCCCUCACAAGCUUGGCCACACACCUUCUAGGAAGGGUGUGAGUGCAGGUUCAUAUUAAUAAAUGGACUCCAAAUACGUGAUGUCUGAAGGCAGAGCUGACCAGGCAUCACUGUGCUCCGAUGGGAAAGGGCAGCUAUGCCAAGGCUAGUCCAAAUGUGCCAACUCUCGCAGCAAAUCAGAAGGGCAAGCCCAUGUGUCCUGUUAGCCAAGCCACCCCGACUCCUCAAGGAGAGGCUUUAAAGAGACACCCUGCUCACACCUCUCACCCCCAGUUAAUAAAUGGCUGGGUCCAUGUUAACAAAUGGCUUUAAGACCUUA